rnacentral:rRNA from 1 species
GAUGAACGCUAGCUACAGGCUUAACACAUGCAAGUCGAGGGGAAACGACAUCGAAAGCUUGCUUUUGAUGGGCGUCGACCGCCGCACGGGUGAGUAACGCGUAUCCAACCUGCCCACCACUUGGGGAUAACCUUGCGAAAGUAAGACUAAUACCCAAUGACGUCUCUAGAAGACAUCUGAAGGAGAUUAAAGAUUUAUCGGUGAUGGAUGGGGAUGCGUCUGAUUAGCUUGUUGGCGGUGUAACGGCCCACCAAGGCGACGAUCAGUAGGGGUUCUGAGAGGAAGGUCCCCCACAUUGGAACUGAGACACGGUCCAAACUCCUACGGGAGGCAGCAGUGAGGAAUAUUGGUCAAUGGGCGAGAGCCUGAACCAGCCAAGUAGCGUGCAGGAUGACGGCCCUAUGGGUUGUAAACUGCUUUUAUAAGGGAAUAAAGUGAGUCUCGUGAGACUUUUUGCAUGUACCUUAUGAAUAAGGACCGGCUAAUUCCGUGCCAGCCGCCGCGUAA